rnacentral:rRNA from 1 species
UAGUCCACGCCGUAAACGAUGAGAACUAGAUGUUGGAGGGAUUACCCUUUAGUAUCGAAGCUAACGCGUUAAGUUCUCCGCCUGGGGAGUACGGCCGCAAGGCUAAAACUCAAAGGAAUUGACGGGGACCCGCACAAGCGGUGGAGCAUGUGGUUUAAUUCGAUGCAACGCGAAGAACCUUACCUACCCUUAAAAUCUCCGAGAUCUUCUAGAGAUAGAAGAGUGCCUUCGGGAAUCGGAUGAUAGGUGCUGCAUGGCUGUCGUCAGCUCGUGUCGUGAGAUGUUGGGUUAAGUCCCGUAACGAGCGCAACCCUUAUCCUUAGUUGCCAGCACAUUAUGGUGGGGACUCUAGGGAGACUGCCGGUGACAAACCGGAGGAAGGUGGGGACGAGGUCAAGUCAUCAUGGCCCUUACGGGUAGGGCUACACACGUGCUACAAUGGGCAGUACAAAGGGUCGCAAAACCGCGAGGUGGAGCUAAUCCCAAAAAACUGCUCUCAGUCCGGAUUGGAGUCUGCAACUCGACU